rnacentral:rRNA from 1 species
GAGUUUGAUCCUGGCUCAGAAUGAACGCUGGCGGCAGGCCUAACACAUGCAAGUCGAACGGAGUUAUAUUGUAGCUUGCUAUGGUAUAACUUAGUGGCAGACGGGUGAGUAAUGUAUAGGAAUCUACCUAGUAGUACGGAAUAAUUGUUGGAAACGGCAACUAAUACCGUAUACGCCCUACGGGGGAAAAAUUUAUUGCUAUUAGAUGAGCCUAUAUUAAAUUAGUUAGUUGGUGAGGUAAAGGCUUACCAAGACAAUGAUCUAUAGCUGAUCUGAGAGGAUGAUCAGCCACACUGGAACUGAGAUACGGUCCAGACUCCUACGGGA